UGAGGAAUAUUGGUCAAUGGGCGGGAGCCUGAACCAGCCAAGUCGCGUGAGGGACGACGGUCCUAUGAUUGUAAACCUCUUUUGUCGGGGAACAAAGGCGCCCACGGGUGGGCGGAUGAGUGUACCCGAAGAAAAAGCAUCGGCUAACUCCGUGCC
rnacentral:rRNA from 1 species